AGAGUUUGAUCCUGGCUCAGGACGAACGCUGGCGGCGUGCCUAAUACAUGCAAGUCGAACGGAGAUAUUCGCUGAUGAAGUACUUCGGUAAUGAAUCUUGGAUAUCUUAGUGGCGGACGGGUGAGUAACGCGUGAGCAACCUGCCUUUCAGAGGGGGAUAACGUUUGGAAACGAACGCUAAUACCGCAUGACAUUAUCUUAUCGCAUGGUAGGAUAAUCAAAGGAGCAAUCCGCUGAAAGAUGGGCUCGCGUCCGAUUAGGUAGUUGGUGGGGUAACGGCCCACCAAGCCGACGAUCGGUAGCCGGACUGAGAGGUUGGACGGCCACAUUGGGACUGAGACACGGCCCAGACUCCUACGGGAGGCAGCAGUAAGGGAUAUUGGUCAAUGGGGGAAACCCUGAACCAGCAACGCCGCGUGAGGGAAGACGGUUUUUCGGAUUGUAAACCUCUGUCCUCUGUGAAGAUGAUGACGGUAGCAGAGGAGGAAGCUCCGGCUAACUACGUG
rnacentral:rRNA from 1 species